rfam:Toxoplasma gondii VEG unplaced genomic scaffold scaffold00010, whole genome shotgun sequence.
AGCUCAAUGGUAGAGCAAAGGACUGAAGAUCCUUAUGCUAUCAAUUCGAUUCUGAU